rnacentral:lncRNA from 1 species
CAUGCCAAAGUGGUUGUCGCCCCUUCCUUUCUCAACGCUUCAAGUUUGCAUGAAAGAAAAGUUCAAAUUUGAUUUAAACUUAACUUCCUUAUCAACAUGAGGUUUGACCUCAUCUAUCUAUAUUGGAUGCCAACCAUAAAAGGGCUUCUUUUUGUGCAUGGAAAAUAAGAUGAAAAUAUGAUUUACCAUGAGAAAAAAGAAAAAUUAAGCGGG